rnacentral:rRNA from 1 species
UACAGAGGUCUCGAGCGUUAGGCGGAAUCACUGGGCUUAAAGCGUGUGUAGGUGGCUGCCUAAGUACCUUGUGAAAUCCCACAGCUUAACUGUGGAACUGCUUGGUAUACUGGGUGUCUUGAGUCACUCAGGGGCGAGCGGAACAAAUGGUGGAGCGGUGAAAUGCGUAGAUAUCAUUUGGAACGCCAAUGGUGAAAACAGCUCGCUGGGGGUGCACUGACACUGAGACACGAAAGCCAGGGGAGCGAACGGG